rnacentral:rRNA from 1 species
CCUACGGGUGGCAGCAGUGGGGAAUAUUGGGCAAUGGGCGAAAGCCUGACCCAGCAACGCCGCGUGAAGGAAGAAGGCUUUCGGGUUGUAAACUUCUUUUCUCAGGGACGAAGAAAGUGACGGUACCUGAGGAAUAAGCCACGGCUAACUACGUGCCAGCAGCCGCGGUAAUCCGUAGGUGGCAAGCGUUAUCCGGAUUUAUUGGUUGUAAAGGGCGUGUAGGCGGGAGCGCAAGUGAGAUGUGAAAACUCAGGGCUCAACCCUGAUCCUGCAUUUGAAACUGUGUUUCUUGAGUGUUGGAGAGGCAAGCGGAAUUCGGUGUGUAGCGGUGAAAUGCGUAGAUAUACGGAGGAACACCAGUGGCGAAGGCGGAUUGCUGGAGAGUAACUGACGCUGAGGCGCGAAAGCGUGGGGAGCAAACAGGAUUAGAUACCCCAGUAGUC